CACGCCCACCCUCCGUCACUCAUUGCUUCAAGGCAGGGCUUACUUUGCGUUGUCCUGGGUAUUUUGAUAAUUGGCGGGAGGGAACAUGGCGAAGUCUGUUCCACAGCUUCUCCGAGAAGCACUUGAGCGGCAAACUGCAAAUGUUGGCCCUUCAGAAAAUCCAUCGUCUGGUCUGAGCGCGACACCUCCGGAUCGAAGUGGUGGGACACGGGCAGAAGUUUUAAGAUUGUUUGCACCAUAUUCAAAUUCACGGGGCCGUGUGCCGAAACGUCCCAACACCGCUGGACCUUCAGCAAAA